GAUGAACGCUGGCGGCGUGCCUAAUACAUGCAAGUCGAGCGAACAGACGAGGAGCUUGCUCCUCUGACGUUAGCGGCGGACGGGUGAGUAACACGUGGAUAACCUACCUAUAAGACUGGGAUAACUUCGGGAAACCGGAGCUAAUACCGGAUAAUAUAUUGAACCGCAUGGUUCAAUAGUGAAAGACGGUUUUGCUGUCACUUAUAGAUGGAUCCGCGCCGCAUUAGCUAGUUGGUAAGGUAACGGCUUACCAAGGCAACGAUGCGUAGCCGACCUGAGAGGGGUGCUCGGCCCCCGUGGACCGGGCACCGGGCCCACCCCCCCUGGGGGGGCGCACGUGGGGAUUCUUCCCAAUGGGGCGAAACCCUGCCGGGGCAACCCCGGGGGGGUUAUGAAGUUUUUCGGUUCGUAAACCUCUGUUUUUUGGGAAGAAAAAAUUUUUAAGUACCUAUCCCCGUUUUGCCGGUCCCAAACCAAAACCCCCCGCCUACCUCCGG
rnacentral:rRNA from 1 species